rnacentral:rRNA from 1 species
UACGGAGGGGGCUAGCGUUGUUCGGAAUUACUGGGCGUAAAGCGCACGUAGGCGGCUUUGUAAGUUAGAGGUGAAAGCCCGGAGCUCAACUCCGGAAUUGCCUUUAAGACUGCAUCGCUCGAAUCAUGGAGAGGUGAGUGGAAUUCCGAGUGUAGAGGUGAAAUUCGUAGAUAUUCGGAAGAACACCAGUGGCGAAGGCGACUCACUGGACACGUAUUGACGCUGAGGUGCGAAAGCGUGGGGAGCAAACAGG